UACGGGGGGGGCAAGCGUUGUUCGGAAUGACUGGGCGUAAAGGGCGCGUAGGCGGCCGCUUGCGUCGGAUGUGAAAGCCCGGGGCUCAACCCCGGAACGGCAUCCGAUACGGGGCGGCUCGAGACCGAGAGAGGUGAGUGGAAUACCCAGUGUAGAGGUGAAAUUCGUAGAUAUUGGGUGGAACACCGGUGGCGAAAGCGGCUCACUGGCUCGGUUCUGACGCUGAGGCGCGAAAGCGUGGGGAGCAAACAGG
rnacentral:rRNA from 1 species